AGCACCGAUGGUCUAGUGGUACGACACCGCUUUCCCAACUAGGAAAUUCCUAUUACCUAGGUAUCAAGCGGCAGCCCGGGUUCGAACCCCGGUCGGUGCAU